GUGCUUGCUUUGGCAGCACAUAUAAUGAAACUGGAACAAUACAGAGAAGAUUAGCAUGCCCCCUGCAAAAGGAUGACAUACAAAUUUGUGAAGAGUUCUGUAUUUUC